rnacentral:rRNA from 1 species
ACUUCACCUAUCUGUAUUGCUGAUAAGGAUUAUGAAUUCUCUGUCGACCCAGAGUUAGUUACUCUGGUUGAAUCUGAUCCUUUCCAUGGUUAUGAAACAAAAACUGUUGUGGCACAUCUUACUAAGCUGAAUGAUAUAGCCACCUUUUUUACUCAUGAUGAGAAAACGCGCUACUAUUUUAUUCUCAAAUUAUUUCCUUUCUCAUUAAAGGGUGAUGCUAAAGCUUGGUACAAUACUCUUGCUCCUGAUUCUGUGCGUAGUCCCCAUGAUAUGAUUUAUUACUUCUCUGAAAAGCAUUUUCCUCCUCAUAUGAAACAAGCUGCCUUACAGGAAAUAUUUAACUUUGUGCAAACUAAAGAAGAGAGUCUCCCACAAGCUUGGGGGAGGCUUCUCCGGUUACUUAAUGCUUUGCCUGAUCAUCCUCUUAAGAAAAAUGAAAUACUUGAUAUCUUCUACAAUGGACUAACCGAUGCUUCUAGGGACUUCCUAGAUAGUUGUGCUGGUUGUGUUUUCAGGGAACGAACUGUUGGACAAGCUCAAGAAUGA